UACGGGAGAUGCAAGCGUUAUCCGGAAUUAUUGGGCGUAAAGAGUUUGUAGGUGGUCUAGUGUGUUUAAUGUUAAAAAUUAAAGCUUAACUUUAACACUGCAUUAAAAACUACUAGGCUGGAGUAUGGUAGGGAGGCAGGGAAUUUCCAGUGUAGCGGUGAAAUGCGUAGAGAUUGGAAAGACUACCAAAAGCGAAGGCACUGUCUUGGGCCUAUACUGACACUGAGAAACGAAAGCUGAGGGAGCAAACAGG
rnacentral:rRNA from 1 species